GGUUGGUGGCUCAGAGGUAGAGCACUCACCUGUCACAUGUGAGACCCUGGGUUCGAUCCUCAGCACCA
rnacentral:tRNA from 1 species